rnacentral:rRNA from 1 species
ACCGGACCAGGCCUUAUGGGCGCAAGCAGGCGGAGAAACCUUUGCAAUGUGCGAAAGCACGACAAGGUAAUCCGAGUGUCUCCUGCUAAAGGAGUCUUUUGUCAGUUGUAGAAUCACUGGGUGAAUAAGGGGUGGGCAAGUUCUGGUGUCAGCCGCCGCGGUAAAACCAGCACCUCGAGUGGUCAGGAGGUUUAUUGGGCCUAAAGCAUCCGUAGCCGGUUGCAUAAGUUUUCGGUUAAAUCUAUGCGCUUAACGUAUAGGCCGCCGAAAAUACUGUGCAGCUAGGGAGUGGGAGAGGUACACGGUACUCGAUAGGAAGGGGUAAAAUCCUUUGAUCUAUUGAAGACCACCUGUGGCGAAGGCGGUGUACCAGAACACGUUCGACGGUGAGGGAUGAAAGCUGGGGGAGCAAACCGGAUUAGAUACCCGGGUAGUCCCAGCUGUAAGCGAUGCAGACUCGGUGAUGCAUUGGCUUGUGGCCAAUGCAGUGCCGCAGGGAAGCCGUUAAGUCUGCCGCCUGGGAAGUACGUACGCAAGUAUGAAACUUAAAGGAAUUGGCGGGGGAGCACCACAAGGGGUGAAGCUGCGGUUCAAUUGGAGUCACGCCG